rnacentral:lncRNA from 10 species
GAAGAGGGCUCCUCCCAGCUCCAGGUAUGGUGAGGCCAACGGAUUAAGAGAUGAUUGCCACUGAAAAGAUAGUUUGUUGCUCACAGUUCCCAAGAGGAGGGGCAUGCCACACCAUGCUGGGCCACCUGGGGAGGCACCAGGGUCAGUCAGGAGGCAGGGGAGUGAGAGGGAAAUGUGGGCAGGAGCCUUUAUCAUGGUUUCUGUGGGAAAGAGCUGGGGAGGAAGGGUAAGCAUCUUAGGAUUGGCUAGUUCAAAUGAUUUCAGUGGGUUUUGGGGCAUAGGGAUUGUCCUGAGUUGUCUGGUACCUGCCUGGGGGUGAUUAGGGUGGGGAAAUAAAAGCUCUGUGUGUCAGAGUCUGAUAGAGGAGGUGGUGGGGGCAUGGGCUCUGGAUUGCUCGGAAGGUGCACUUGCAGGCAAUUUAUUUACUAUCUCUAGGAAUUGGCUAGCCCUGGGAAGGGCAGUCUCUCCAAGGUCAGCAAAGCCCCAGAUGCCAGAGCAUCAGAUAUAUAUAAAACAAAAAGCUAUGAUUAAUACAGCAGUAAAAGAGCAGGGACAGCAUUCCCUUGUCCUCUGCACCCUGCAUUUAUUUGGAGCAUAGUAGACAUUCAAUAUAUGCUUAUGGAAUGAAUGUUAUUCCUAAUUUCCUGGCCACUGCUCAGCAUGGUCACAGCUUGGUUGGGGAUGAUUAACGGCUUGUGUUCACUCUGAGUGUUGAAGAAGAGGUAACUGAUUAUUGCCAUGCAAACUGAUGGGGUAGGUGCUCCAUAUCUCCACUUCAUUUUUUUUUUUUUUUUGAGACAGAGUCUUGCUCUGUUGCCCAGGCUGGAAUGCAGUGGUGUGAACUCAGCUCAUUGCAACCUCUGCCUCCUGGGUUUAAGCGAUUCUCCUGCCUCAGCCUCCUGAGUAGCUGGGAUUACAGGCAUGUGCCACCACGCCCAGCUAAUUUUUGUAUUCUUAAUAGAGACAGGGUUUCACCAUGUUGGCCAGGCUGGUCUCGAACUCCUGACCUCAAGUAAUCCUCUCACCUUGGCCUCCCAAAGUGUUGGGAUUAUAGGUGUGAGCCACUGCGCAUAGCCAUCCACUUCAUUUUGUUACUCAUUCAUUACUUCAAACAUCUUUUUUUCUUUUAUUUGUAAAAUUGACAUAUAGUAAUUGUAUAUAUUUAUGGGAUACAGAGUGAUGUUUCAAUAUAUAAUGUAUAGUGAUCAGGUCAGGGUAAUUAGCUUAUCCAUCAAAUUGAACAUUUAUUAUUUCUUUUUGUUGGGAACAUUCAUUAUCCUCCUUCUAGGUAUUUGAAUCUAUAUAUUGUUUUCUGUAGUCAUCCUGCAGUGCUAUGGAACAUUAGAACUUCAUGCAUCUUGUAAGCACCUACUCUGUGUUGCGCAGUAGACAGAAGCAAAGCAUAUUCCCUCCUCUCAAAGAGUUCUACAUGGUACACUGCAG